AACGCGAAGAACCUUACCUGGGCUCGAACGGCUUCUCAACUGCGGUGGAAACAUCGCUAUCCCGCAAGGGAGUGGAGUCGAGGUGCUGCAUGGCUGUCGUCAGCUCGUGUCGUGAGAUGUUGGGUUAAGUCCCGCAACGAGCGCAACCCUUGUCCUGUGUUGGCAUGCCGCAAGGCGCAACUCGCAGGAGACCGCCAGCGAUAAGCUGGAGGAAGGUGGGGAUGACGUCAAGUCCUCAUGGCCUUUAUGUCCAGGGCUACACACGUGCUACAAUGGCCGGUACAAAGCGCUGCGAAGUCGCAAGACGGAGCCAAUCGCAAAAAACCGGUCUCAGUUCGGAUUGCAGGCUGCAACUCGCCUGCAUGAAGCUGGAAUCGCUAGUAAUGCUAUAUCAGAACGAUAGCGUGAAUACGUUCCCGG
rnacentral:rRNA from 1 species